rnacentral:rRNA from 1 species
GACGAACGCUGGCGGCGUGCUUAACACAUGCAAGUCGAACGGAAAGGCCCUGCUUUUGUGGGGUGCUCGAGUGGCGAACGGGUGAGUAACACGUGAGUAACCUGCCCUUGACUUUGGGAUAACUUCAGGAAACUGGGGCUAAUACCGGAUAGGAGCUCCUGCUGCAUGGUGGGGGUUGGAAAGUUUCGGCGGUUGGGGAUGGACUCGCGGCUUAUCAGCUUGUUGGUGGGGUAGUGGCUUACCAAGGCUUUGACGGGUAGCCGGCCUGAGAGGGUGACCGGCCACAUUGGGACUGAGAUACGGCCCAGACUCCUACGGGAGGCAACAGUGGGGAAUAUUGCAAAAUGGGCGGAAGCCUGAUGCAGCAACGCCGCGUGCGGGAUGACGGCCUUCGGGUUGUAAACCGCUUUCGCCUGUGACGAAGCGUGAGUGACGGUAAUGGGUAAAGAAGCACCGGCUAACUACGUG